CGGCCCGGCCCUGAGGGCAGCGCGGGGAUCCCGGGGCGGCGGGCCCGGCUGGCCGGUCCUGUGGGGAAAUCGUCAUUCACGGUAACCCGGGCUCGCCCCACAACGCCCACGGUGCUUUUCCUUCGGGGGGGAAAGGCGGGGUGAUGCUGCCAAUGUCUCUGAAGGCUUCCCGCAGGUGGAUCCAGGUCACCUCUGUGGUCCCUUCCAGCCUGGAUUACUGUGUGCUCCCCUGGAGCUCAUCCUGAGAGCUGAGGGAGCAGCAGGUGAUGCUCAGCAGCAGACUUGGACACUAACAGAAGUUCCUCAGAGAUCCUGGUAUUGAUAACCACAUAAGCUCUGUGUUCACCAUUGAAUGGGAUCUAAUUUUCAUUCUUAAUUUAUAUUUAUCUCAUGUGUAGAGUGUGAAACCUCCAGACUACAUCUAACAUGACUUUCUUUAUGUACCACCA